UGCAAAGGGAGUCCCAGAACUCCGAGAGUCCGACUGAGUCAGAUUUACUAAUGCCCUGAAAGAACCAAGGCAGCAGACGCUUUUCUGGUCUCAGUUGCAGAUUACAAACAAGCUUUACAUGGGUAUGAACCGUUGCCAAGAUGGAAAGCCCUUCGAGGACUGUUAUUCCUCAUCCUCAGGAUGCUCUCUGACCUGACCUUGAGAAACAACUGCAGCUCCUUGCAGAAGAUGAAGAAUAUAAAAUCUUCAUUGCUUGCUCUGGGCCAAAGAGAUUUCUGCCCAGCACCAACAGCAGGCUGCUGUUAGCCAUGGUGUGCUACAACACUCAAGAAUCACCCCUCCAGGCCCUAUAUAAGCAUACCUCGAUUUGGACAAGACCUGUUUCCAGUGCUCAAAGCCACAUGGUACCGGUAGCCAUCGUCCUGGACAAUGCAGUCUGCGAGGGAUUGUAAAUACUGUAGUUGGAAUAAGAUGGAGCCGAGAGAGGAACCAGCAUUACUGAAAACCUGAAUACAUCAUUUUAUGUGAGUCUCGCAAUCUCUCUGUGAGUUAGUUGUUGUUAUCCCCAUUUUUUAGAUGAGAGAACUGAGAUUUAGAGAGAUUAAGUAAAGCACCAUGAGACAAACAAUUCACAAAAAGCAGAGAUCUAAUUUUUCCCCCGUUCAUCUGAUUCCAAAGUCCACACUCUGUCUCCAAUCUUACCAUGAUAUAUUGAAUUAUAC
rnacentral:lncRNA from 10 species